CUUCUGCCCGUUGGGGUUUGUUUGUUUUUAUCUCUUCAUAUUUGGCAUCACAUCUUGAAACUUUGCCUUUUUACUUCACAUAAAGCUAACUUAUAUUUCAUAAAUAAAUAAAUAAAUAAAUAAAUAAACUGGGCUAGUGAGAUGACUCCUUGGGUAAAAGUAUUUGCCAUGCAGGCCUGAAUUUGUUUCCCAUGUCCCACCAUGGAAAAAAGCCAACUUCUACAAAUUGUUCUCUGAUUUCCACAUGGGUACCAUGCAUGUAUAUCCACAUGAAUAUUGAUAAAAAAAAAUUUUGUUCUUGAGACAUGGUUUCUCUGUGUAACCCUGGCUGUCCUGGAACUCACUUUGUAGACAUGCUGGCCUCCAACUAAGAUCCACCUGCCUCAGCCUUCCAAGCACUGGAAAUAAAGGUGUGUGCCAUCACCACCUGGCUAAAACUAUCCCAGCCUAGUCUACAGAGUUCCAAAACAGUGAAGGCAACACAGAGAAACCUUGUCUUGAAAACAAGAGAAAGAUUUGAAUCUUUAAAAAAAAAAUACGGAUUAUAUAAGUCAUUUCUGCUGUGUUUACUUCCUUUACAUUGUAAUUGGUAACUGUAUUCGCCAGAAUGUUUUAGAAAACAUUAGCAAACUCAAGUUUGAUGAUGAUUAAACAGGUCUGUCUUGUUUGUUCAUUUACUUGGGUACAGGGUCUUAUAUUGUAGAUCAGGUGGAUCUCUGGGAGUUUGAGGCCGACCUGGUCUACAGAGUGAGUGCCAGGAUAGGCUCCAAAGCUACACAGAGAAACCCUGUCUCGAAAAACAAAAACAACAACAAAAAGGCUGUAGUGUUGCUCAGGAACGCAAAGCAUACACAGAGUCUGUCUCUACUAUAGCAAAGGAGAAGAAAAAUAUGUGAAGUUGUGAUUUGAUGACAUUGAGAUUAUUGGUCCCUUAAUGGCUUUCCUGCUUUGUCUUAUCCAACUAACCUUCACUACUCCAAUCGUAAUAUCCUCUGUAGUAUAGAGUCUAUACCCUUUGAAAUUUCUAUACUUUUUCUACAUACUUAGGAAAUUGUAUCUAUUUAUUGUAAUAGUGGAGGUCAAAGGACAACUUUUUAAGUCUGUUCUCUCCUACCAUGUGAAUCCCUGGGAUCAAACUCAUGCUCGGCAAAAAAAAAGAUCUUAACUCUCUGGGCCAUCUCAUUGGCUUGGAGUCUUGUUUAAUUUUGAGACAGGGUCUCACUAUCACCUUGACUGGCUUGUUUUGCUCUAUAGACCAGGCUGUCCUCGAACUCACAGAGAUCUGCCUUUGCCUUCCUGGUGCUGGAUUAAAGGCGUGUACCACCUCCACCCAGUUUAGGAAUUCUUUUUUGUUUGUUUUUCAAGACAGUAGUUGUUUUGGGGUUUUUGUUUUGGUUUUUGUUUUUUUGUUUUUGUUUUUUGUUUUGUUUUGUUUUGAGACAGGGUUUCUGUGUGGCUUUGGAGGCUGUCCUGGAACUAGCUCUUAUAGACCAGGCUGGCCUUGAACUCCCGAGUGCUGGGAUUAAAGGCGUGCACCACCACCACCACCACCACCACCACCACCACCACCUCCUCCUCCUCCAGCUCAGGAAUUCUUUGUUAGUGGCACAGGGAUGUGUAGUUUAGUGAUAAGGUCUUUGCCCAGCACACACAGGACCCUAGAUUCAGUGACCAACACCACAAGAAGCAAAACAAAAACCAACCUUAUUUACAUUGGAAUCUCCUUUCUAAACAGUUCUUUAUAGAACUAGAAAGCCUUGUUGGGGACUCCAAGAAUCAUUAGCCUGCCUCCCCACUAUUAGCAAAAGACAUUUAGCUCUUUCUCUAUCAAAGUCCCUCUUGUAGCCCAAGUGGAACAAAUUCCUCCGUGGUCAUUCACAUUCCAGAGGCCCUCCAGACUGGGACUGUCCAGUGGACAGC
ensembl:lncRNA